rnacentral:rRNA from 1 species
GAUCAUGGCUCAGGAUGAACGCUGGCGGCGUGCCUAACACAUGCAAGUCGAACGGAGUCGUUUUGGAAAAUCCUUCGGGAUUGGAAUUCUCGACUUAGUGGCGGACGGGUGAGUAACGCGUGAGCAAUCUGCCUUUUAAGAGGGGGAGUAACAGUCGGAAACGGCUGCUAAUACCGCAUAAAGCAAUGAAUUCGCAUGUUUUCAUUGCCAAAGGAGCAAUUCCGCUUUUAG